rnacentral:rRNA from 1 species
CUCAGAACGAACGCUGGCGGCAUGCCUAACACAUGCAAGUCGAACGAGACCUUCGGGUCUAGUGGCGCACGGGUGCGUAACGCGUGGGAACCUGCCUUGAGGUUCGGAAUAACUCCCCGAAAGGGGUGCUAAUACCGGAUGAUGUCUUCGGACCAAAGAUUUAUCGCCUUUAGAUGGGCCCGCGUUGGAUUAGCUAGUUGGUGGGGUAAAGGCCUACCAAGGCGACGAUCCAUAGCUGGUCUGAGAGGAUGAUCAGCCACACUGGGACUGAGACACGGCCCAGACUCCUACGGGAGGCAGCAGUGGGGAAUAUUGGACAAUGGGCGAAAGCCUGAUCCAGCAAUGCCGCGUGAGUGAUGAAGGCCUUAGGGUUGUAAAGCUCUUUUACCAGGGAUGAUAAUGACAGUACCUGGAGAAUAAGCUCCGGCUAACUCCGUGCCAGCAGCCGCGGUAAUACGGAGGGAGCUAGCGUUGUUCGGAAUUACUGGGCGUAAAGCGCACGUAGGCGGCGACUCAAGUCAGAGGUGAAAGCCCGGGGCUCAACCCCGGAACUGCCUUUGAAACUAGGUUGCUAGAAUCCUGGAGAGGUUAGUGGAAUUCCGAGUGUAGAGGUGAAAUUCGUAGAUAUUCGGAAGAACACCAGUGGCGAAGGCGACUAACUGGACAGGUAUGACGCU